GCUUGUCUCAAAGAUUAAGCCAUGCAUGUCUAAGUAUAAGCCUUUACACGGUGAGACUGCGAAUGGCUCAUUAAAUCAGAAACUGUUUAUUUGAUAGUGCCUACUACUUGGAUAACCGUAGUAAUUCUAGAGCUAAUACAUGCAAAAAGCCUGGACUUCUGGAACAGGCGUAUUUAUUAGAUAACGAACCAAUAUUCCUCUGGUCUAUUGUGGUGAAUCAUAAUAACUGAUCGAAUCGCAAAGCCUUUGGCUGCGAUAUGUCAUUCAAGUUUCUGCCCCAUCAGCUUUCGAUGGUAGUGUAUUGGACUACCAUGGCUUUUACGGGUAACGGAGAAUUAGGGUUCGAUUCCGGAGAGGGAGCCUGAGAAACGGCUACCACAUCUAAGGAAGGCAGCAGG
rnacentral:rRNA from 1 species